CUGACAGCCCUGGGGACUGAAGUCCUGUUUAUCCACAGGACAAGGAUAGCCCGGAGAAUGCAAACUCCGUCCCCUCGUCCCAUGUCCAUCAACUACCUAAACCCUGACAGAGGAAUCAAUUCUAGGGCUGAGGAUAGUUCAUUCUUCAAGAUCCCUUCACUCCUUGACCUUU
rnacentral:sRNA from 1 species